CCUACGGGGUGCAGCAGUGGGGAAUAUUGGGCAAUGGGCGCAAGCCUGACCCAGCAACGCCGCGUGAAGGAAGAAGGCUUUCGGGUUGUCAACUACUUUUGACAGGGAAGAGUAGAAGACGGUACCUGUCGAAUAAGCAACGGCUAAAUACGGGCCAGCAGACGCGGUAAUACGUAGGUGGCAAACGUUGGCCGGAUGUACUGGGUGUAAAGGUCGUGUAGCAGGGUUGACAAGUCAGAUGUGAAAUCCUGCGGCUUAACCGCAGAACUGCAUUUGAAACUGUUGAUCUUGAGUGCUGGAGAGGCAGACGGAAUUCCUAGUGUAGCGGUGAAAUGCGUAGAUAUUAGGAGGAACACCAGUGGCGAAGGCGGUCUGCUGGACAGCAACUGACGGUGAGGCGCGAAAGCGUGGGGAGCAAACAGGAUUAGAUACCCUAGUAGUC
rnacentral:rRNA from 1 species